rnacentral:rRNA from 1 species
AACGAACGCUGGCGGCAUGCCUAACACAUGCAAGUCGAACGAGACCUUCGGGUCUAGUGGCGCACGGGUGCGUAACGCGUGGGAACCUGCCCUUAGGUUCGGAAUAACUCCCCGAAAGGGGUGCUAAUACCGGAUAAUGUCUUCGGACCAAAGAUUUAUCGCCUUUGGAUGGGCCCGCGUUGGAUUAGCUAGUUGGUAGGGUAAAAGCCUACCAAGGCGACGAUCCAUAGCUGGUCUGAGAGGAUGAUCAGCCACACUGGGACUGAGACACGGCCCAGACUCCUACGGGAGGCAGCAGUGGGGAAGAUUGGACAAUGGGCGAAAGCCUGAUCCAGCAAUGCCGCGGGAGUGAUGAAGGCCUUAGGGUGGUAAAGCUCUUUUACCCGGGAUGAUAAUGACAGGACCGGGAGAAUGAGCUCCGGCGAACUCCGU